rnacentral:rRNA from 1 species
UACAGAGGGGGCAAGCGUUGUUCGGAAUUACUGGGCGUAAAGGGCGCGUAGGCGGCCUGCUAAGUCGAACGUGAAAUCCCUGGGCUCAACCCAGGAACUGCGUCCGAUACUGGUUGGCUUGAAUCCGGGAGAGGGAUGCGGAAUUCCAGGUGUAGCGGUGGAAUGCGUAGAUAUCUGGAGGAACACCGGUGGCGAAGGCGGCAUCCUGGACCGGCAUUGACGCUGAGGCGCGAAAGCCAGGGGAGCAAACGGG